rnacentral:rRNA from 1 species
AUUGAACGCUGGCGGCAUGCCUUACACAUGCAAGUCGAACGGUAACGCGGGGCAACCUGGCGACGAGUGGCGAACGGGUGAGUAAUGCAUCGGAACGUGCCCAGUAGUGGGGGAUAGCCCGGCGAAAGCCGGAUUAAUACCGCAUACGACCUACGGGUGAAAGCGGGGGACCGUAAGGCCUCGCGCUGUUGGAGCGGCCGACGUCGAAUUAGGUUGGUGGUGGGGUAAAGGCAUACCAAGACGACGAUCUGUAGCGGGUCUGAGAGGAUGAUCUGCCACACUGGGACUUGGACACUGCCCAGACUCCUACGGGAGGCAGAAGUGGGGAAUAUUGGACAAUGGACGCAAGUCUGAUCCAGCCAUUCCGCGUGCAGGACGAAGGCCUUCGGGUUGUAAACUGCUUUUGUACAGAACGAAAAGGUCUCUACUAAUACUAGGGGCUCAUGACGGUACUGUAAGAAUAAGCACCGGCUAACUACGUGCCAGCCGCCGCGGUAA